rnacentral:rRNA from 1 species
GUGAGGAAUUUUCCGCAAUGGGCGAAAGCCUGACGGAGCAAUGCCGCGUGAAGGAUGAAGGCCUAUGGGUUGUAAACUUCUUUUCUCAGAAAAGAAUUAUGACGGUAUCUGAGGAAUAAGCAUCGGCUAACUCUGUGCCAGCAGCCGCGGUAAGACAGAGGAUGCAAGCGUUAUCCGGAAUGAUUGGGCGUAAAGUGUCUGUAGGUUGUUUAAAAAGUAUUCUGUCAAAGAUUAGGGCUUAACCCUAGAUAGGCAGAAUAAACUUUUAAGCUAGAGUUUGGUAGAGGCGGAGGGAAUUCCCGGUGGAGCGGUGAAAUGCGUAGAUAUCGGGAGGAACACCAAAGGCGAAGGCACUCUGCUGGGCCAAUACUAACACUGAGAGACGAAAGCGAGGGGAGCAAAUGGGAUUAGAAACCCGAGUAGUCC